rnacentral:rRNA from 1 species
GGACCCGCACAAGCGGUGGAACAUGUGGUUUAAUUCGAUGCUACGCGAAAAACCUUACCAAGAUUUGACAUGUUAGUCGUAUAUCUAGGAAACUAGUAGUCAGUUAGGCUGGACUAUCACAGGUGCUGCAUGGCUGUCGUCAGCUCGUGUCGUGAGAUGUUGGGUUAAGUCCCGCAACGAGCGCAACCCUUAUUUUUUAGUUGCCAUCAGGUAAUGCUGGGAACUUUAAAAAAACUGCCAAUGGAGAAUUGGAGGAAGGUGAGGAUGACGUCAAGUCAGCAUGGCCCUUAUAUCUUGGGCUACACACGUGUUACAAUAGUAGAACAAUUAGAAGCGAAGGGGCAACCCCAGAG